rnacentral:rRNA from 1 species
UGGUGGAGUGAUUUGUCUGGUUAAUUCCGAUAACGAACGAGACCUUAACCUGCUAAAUAGUUCCGUCAACCUUGGUUGGUAGGAACUUCUUAGAGGGACUAACUACGUUUAGUAGUUGGAAGUUUGAGGCAAUAACA